rnacentral:rRNA from 1 species
AACGCGAAGAACCUUACCUGGGUUUGACUUGCACGGGAAUCUACCAGAGAUGGUAGCGUCCUUCGGGACUCGUGCACAGGUGCUGCAAGGCUGUCGUCAGCUCGUGCCGUGAGGUGUUGGGUUAAGUCCCGCAACGAGCGCAACCCUUAUUUUUAGUUGCCAUCGGGUAAUGCCGGGCACUCUAGAGAGACUGCCUACGUAAGUAGGAGGAAGGUGGGGAUGACGUCAAGUCAGCAUGGCCCUUACGUCCAGGGCUACACACGUGCUACAAUGGCCGGUACAAAGGGCAGCCAACCCGCGAGGGGGAGCGAAUCUCAAAAAACCGGUCUCAGUUCGGAUUGUAGGCUGCAACUCGCCUACAUGAAGUCGGAAUCACUAGUAACCGCAGAUCAGCUACGCUGCGGUGAAUACGUUCCCGGGUCUUGUACACACC